rnacentral:rRNA from 1 species
GACGAACGCUGGCGGCGUGCCUAAUACAUGCAAGUCGGACGCAGUUGCGAACGGGUGAGUAACGCGUAGGUAACUAUCUAUUAGAGGGGGAUAACUAUUGGAAACGAUAGCUAAUACCGCAUACUAGUAGAUGGAUCUGCGUUGUAUUAGGUAGUAGGUAGGGUAAUGGCCUACCUAGGCCACGAUACAUAGCCGACCCGGGGAGGUGGACGGGCGCACUGGGACUGGGGAACGGCCCAGGCUCCUACGGGUAGGAACAAUAGGGGAACUUGGGGAAUGGGGGGAAACCUUGCCGAACAACGCCGCGGGAGUGAAGAAGGUUUUCGGGUCGUAAAGCUCUGUUGUUAAGGAAGCGGUACUUAACCAGAAAGCAACGGCUAACUACGUGCCAGCAGCCGCGGUAAUUC